rnacentral:rRNA from 1 species
UACGUAGGGGGCAAGCGUUGUCCGGAUUUAUUGGGCGUAAAGAGCGUGUAGGCGGCCAAGCAGGUCCGCUGUGAAAACUCGAGGCUCAACCUCGAGACGUCGGUGGAAACCGUUUGGCUAGAGUCCGGAAGAGGAGAGUGGAAUUCCAGGUGUAGCGGUGAAAUGCGUAGAUAUCUGGAGGAACACCGGUGGCGAAGGCGGCAUCCUGGACCGGCAUUGACGCUGAGGAGCGAAAGCCAGGGGAGCAAACGGG